GCAUCAUCAAUUCGCUGGACGUACCACGACUCAUUGCGCCCAAUCUCACACCCGUUGCCCCAUCGCCAAGCCUUCCUCGGCGUCAUCGCCGUCGCCGUCGUCUCGCCGGCGUCGGCCGCUGGGAGGAGAUGGCGUCGUCGCUGGACGCGCCCAACCUCGACGAUUACCUCACCGCGGACUCGCUCCCGCAGGAACCCCCCAGGAGUCUCACCCUGCGCGAUCUGCUGGACAUCUCGCCGGUGCUCACCGAGGCCGCGGGCGCCAUCGUCGAUGAUUCAUUCACACGUUGCUUUAAGUCAAAUUCUCCGGAGCCAUGGAACUGGAACAUCUAUUUGUUCCCAUUAUGGUGCUUGGGAGUAGUCAUAAGAUAUGGACUACUGUUUCCGCUAAGGUUCUUAACACUUAUACUAGGAUGGAUGGCCUUCUUUACUGCCUUUUUUCCCGUGCGUUUCCUAAUGAACGGGAAAAAUAGGCUAAAAAGUAAAAUAGAGAGAAAGCUGGUUGAAAUGAUGUGCAGUGUUUUUGUUGCUUCUUGGACUGGAGUGAUCAAGUACCAUGGACCACGCCCAAGCUCACGACCUUAUCAGGUAUUUGUUGCAAACCAUACAUCGAUGAUAGAUUUUAUUAUUCUGGAGCAGAUGACAGCAUUUGCUGUCAUCAUGCAAAAGCAUCCUGGAUGGGUUGGAUUUAUUCAGAAGACUAUUCUGGAAAGUGUGGGUUGCAUCUGGUUUAACCGUAAUGAUCUCAAGGAUCGUGAAGUAGUUGGAAGAAAGUUACGUGAUCAUGUUCAGCAUCCAGACAACAACCCUCUCUUGAUUUUCCCGGAAGGAACUUGUGUUAAUAAUCAGUACACUGUGAUGUUCAAGAAGGGUGCUUUUGAGCUUGGCUGUGCUGUAUGUCCAAUAGCUAUCAAAUAUAAUAAAAUAUUUGUUGACGCCUUCUGGAAUAGUAAGAAGCAAUCUUUUACAAUGCAUUUGGUUCGUCUUAUGACAUCAUGGGCUGUUGUUUGUGAUGUUUGGUUCUUGGAACCUCAGUAUCUCAGGGAAGGGGAGACAGCGAUAGAAUUUACUGAAAGAGUGAGGGACAUGAUAGCUGCUCGGGCUGGUCUUAAGAAGGUUCCAUGGGAUGGCUAUCUGAAACAUAACCGCCCUAGUCCAAAACAUACUGAGGAAAAGCAGCGCAUGUUUGCUGAAUCUGUGUUGAGGAGACUAGAGGAAAACUAAAUAGCUAUCAAUCAACUCUGGCGCUCCUGUUUGACAGAAUCAGUAGCAUGUGCUUCACAAGAAAGAACUAUUGAAUCGACCUUGCUAUACAUGACACUAGUUGUCCGAUUUCUGUACGACGCGCUAGAUCAAAGCGGUUGAUGCGCUGAACAAAACUGCAGUGGAGCAUCAGAUUUGGGGUCGUACACAAAUCGGACCAUGAAGCAUUGUACGCAUAGUGGUUUUGCUAUUGAAUGGAUGUGCGCCUAUGAUCUUUUAAUAUCUUAUAUGAUCGGUUAGUGUAACACGUAAGCAUUGGUGUUCUUAUCAGUAGAUGUUGUAUUGAUAUUUGACCUCUUGUAGACAGUCAGUCCUGAUCAUUCUUAUAUCACGUGAUUAUUGGUUUGAUAUGCUGUGUUUAAGCGAGAGAAACAACUGGACUGCAUCUCCGAAAAAACAAAUUGGUUAAGAGAGUUAGAGCAUCGGUAUUCGACUAUCCGUAUAGUUAGAUGCUUUGCACAAAGUUAGAAGAAACAAGAGGUACGGCUGCACCUGCACGGCUUGUUUGAAAAGUGCAUAUGGUGAAAGGUUAAGCAUAUGCAUAAAUAGAUGCUUGCACUAAAAUAAAAGAUCGUGCCCUUUCAGACCAUGGUUAACUAUAUUUCGUAUGUUUUGCAUUGGAUAGUUAGUUGUUAAAUAUGUCGUCGUCUUUUAUGUUUUUCAUCAGAUAUUCCAUUGUUAAAUACAGUAUGAUUUGUCUUCUUUUUAUUUUGCAGGACAUUUGGAACCUUUCGAUUCUCACAUGCAUUCACGCUUCAUUACAAAUUUACAAUGAUCACAAAGUUCAUGACAUGUAGACAUCUGGAACCAAAUUUCAGCGCCCUUUGAUGCUCACGUCAUUCUGUUUGCAUUAGAAAGAUUGCAGU
rnacentral:rRNA from 1 species